CAUAGGGAUUUACACCGAGAAAGACCGCCUCUAUCUCCUUUUUUCUCAUCCCUGCCUUUAAAAAUAGAUACUCUGACACGAUGAAAGCAGAUGGGAGCCCCUUCCCGAGGCCAAGCGUGCAGUCGUGGCCAGGAGGCUUCAGAAUUGAAGGCUCUUAGCAUCGGGAAUCCUUAAGUCACGUUUUGUUACCAAACGCAGAAUACUGAAUAGUUCUGGAUGCCCAAACCCAGGAGAAAUGCGGGGCGUUAGGAAAAGUCUCGGGAAAACAGACUCCGUGAACAUGCUGUGUGUGUAGGGGGAGUGGUCUUGCUAAAUGUAUUUGGAGAAAGGAGUAAGUACACCAGAGUGAUGCCACUUUGCUUCCCUGCUGCGUGCGAACCACGGAAAGUGAUCAUAGGCUCCUUGAAUAAGGUGUAGGGCACAAGACUUUAACAAUGGGAAUCGAUCACCCACUCCGAGGAGAAAGCUUGUCUACUUCACUGGCGAGGGGCAGGUUUGUGAGAAUUGUUUAGGGAGCUAGGGUGUUUGGAGAACACCGUUUUCCACUGAGCCCGUUGUACCCAUUCUAGUGAGGGCAGUGAUCCACCGCAUAAUCGAGAGGGGCUAUUUUGAUCCCGAGACCCCAAGGGCUCUUAGCAUCGGGAAUCCUUAAGUCACGUUUUGUUACCAAACGCGAAGAAACACUGUGUCCGUGAUUAGAACAACUUUGUGGUACUUUUCCCCCCAUUUAUUUAAUGCAUAUCAUUCUGAAACAGGUUGUGAGAAAGAACUUGAAUCCUGGGAAACACAGACCCUGGGAUACCAAAGGAGCUGGCAAAGUGGCCUUGGGACAUGAAUUUCAUGCCUCCCAUGCUUGAGACUGGUGGAGGUGUUGGUGGUGGUGGUGGGGGGGGAAGCCAUCAAGGCACGCGGGUGUUUAUUUUGCCCAGGAGCAUCAUUGUUACUCAAGGGCUUUUGGGGAGCACAGUGACACCUCAUUCCAGUGACCUAUCGUCUGUGGCUGCUUUUGUGCCGUUUCGGGACCGUUAAGUGGUUGUGACAGAGACCGCGUGGCCUGCAAAGCCUGAGACAUUUAUUGCUGGCCCUUUACAGAAAAGGUUUGCGGCCCCCCCGGACUGGUGGGAUACUGACGUGGGGGCUUUAGUUGGGGGGAGAGAGUAGAGCUUUAGCAGCAGAGACUGGACUCCUGGAAAUUCCAGAUGAAGCAUCGGCACUAGCGCGGAUCUGAA